rnacentral:rRNA from 1 species
GCCCUUAGAGUUUGAUCCUGGCUCAAGACGAACGCUGGCGGCGCGCCUAACACAUGCAAGUCGAACGGAGCUUAGAGAGCUUGCUUUUUAAGCUUAGUGGCGAACGGGUGAGUAACGCGUGAGUAACCUGCCCUAGAGUGGGGGACAACAGUUGGAAACGACUGCUAAUACCGCAUAAGCCCACGGUGCCGCAUGGCACUGAGGGAAAAGGAUUUAUUCGCUUUAGGAUGGACUCGCGUCCAAUUAGCUAGUUGGUGAGGUAACGGCCCACCAAGGCGACGAUUGGUAGCCGGACUGAGAGGUUGAACGGCCACAUUGGGACUGAGACACGGCCCACACUCCUACGGGAGGCAGCAGUGGGGGAUAUUGCACAAUGGGGGAAACCCUGAUGCAGCGACGCCGCGUGGAGGAAGAAGGUUUUCGGAUUGUAAACUCCUGUCGUUAGGGACGAUAAUGACGGUACCUAACAAGAAAGCACCGGCUAACUACGUGCCAGCAGCCGCGGUAAAACGUAGGGUGCAAGCGUUGUCCGGAAUUACUGGGUGUAAAGGGAGCGCAGGCGGGAAGACAAGUUGGAAGUGAAAACCAUGGGCUCAACCCAUGAAUUGCUUUCAAAACUGUUUUUCUUGAGUAGUGCAGAGGUAGAUGGAAUUCCCGGUGUAGCGGUGGAAUGCGUAGAUAUCGGGAGGAACACCAGUGGCGAAGGCGGUCUACUGGGCACCAACUGACGCUGAGGCUCGAAAGCAUGGGUAGCAAACAGGAUUAGAUACCCUGGUAGUCCAUGCCGUAAACGA